AUUGAACGCUGGCGGCAUGCCUUACACAUGCAAGUCGAACGGCAGCACGGGUGCUUGCACCUGGUGGCGAGUGGCGAACGGGUGAGUAAUACAUCGGAACAUGUCCUGUAGUGGGGGAUAGCCCGGCGAAAGCCGGAUUAAUACCGCAUACGAUCUACGGAUGAAAGCGGGGGACCUUCGGGCCUCGCGCUAUCGGGUUGGCCGAUGGCUGAUUAGCUAGUUGGUGGGGUAACGGCCUACCAAGGCGACGAUCAGUAGCUGGUCUGAGAGGACGACCAGCCACACUGGGACUGAGACACGGCCCAGACUCCUACGGGAGGCAGCAGUGGGGAAUUUUGGACAAUGGGCGAAAGCCUGAUCCAGCAAUGCCGCGUGUGUGAAGAAGGCCUUCGGGUUGUAAAGCACUUUUGUCCGGAAAGAAAUCCUUGGCCCUAAUACGGUCGGGGGAUGACGGUACCGGAAGAAUAAGCACCGGCUAACUACGUG
rnacentral:rRNA from 1 species